CAAGUUUGACCUCAAAUCAGGUAGGAAUACCCGCUGAACUUAAGCAUAUCAAUAAGCGGAGGAAAAGAAACCAACAGGGAUUGCCUUAGUAGCGGCGAGUGAAGCGGCAAAAGCUCAAAUUUGAAAUCUGGCGCCUUCGGUGUCCGAGUUGUAAUUUGAAGAUUGUAACCUUGGGGUUGGCUCUUGUCUAUGUUUCUUGGAACAGGACGUCACAGAGGGUGAGAAUCCCGUGCGAUGAGAUGCCCAAUCCUAUGUAAGGUGCUUUCGAAGAGUCGAGUUGUUUGGGAAUGCAGCUCUAAGUGGGUGGUAAAUUCCAUCUAAAGCUAAAUAUUGGCGAGAGACCGAUAGCGAACAAGUACAGUGAUGGAAAGAUGAAAAGAACUUUGAAAAGAGAGUGAAAAAGUACGUGAAAUUGUUGAAAGGGAAGGGUUUGAGAUCAGACUCGAUAUUUUGUGAGCCUUGCCUUCGUGGCGGGGUGACCCGCAGCUUAUCGGGCCAGCAUCGGUUUGGGCGGCAGGAUAAUGGCGUAGGAAUGUGACUUUACCUCGGUGAAGUGUUAUAGCCUGCGUUGAUGCUGCCUGCCUAGACCGAGGACUGCGAUUUUAUCAAGGAUGCUGGCAUAAUGAUCCCAAACCGCCCGUCUUGAAACACGGA
rnacentral:rRNA from 1 species